CUACGGGGGGCUCCAGUGAGGAAUAUUGGUCAAUGGAGCAAGCCUGAACCAGCCAUGCCGCGUGAAGGAUGAAGGCCUUAUGGGUUGUAAACUUCUUUUAUACGGGAAUAAACUUAGCUAUGUAUAGCUAACUGCAGGUACCGUAAGAAUAAGCACCGGCUAACUCCGUGCCAGCAGCCGCGGUAAUACGGAGGGUGCAAGCGUUAUCCGGAUUUAUUGGGGUUAAAGGGUCCGCAGGCGGACUAAUAAGUCAGUGGUGAAAUCUCUCGGCUCAACCGAGAAACUGCCAUUGAUACUGUUAGUCUAGAGUGUAGUUGGCGUAGGCGGAAUGUAUCAUGUAGCGGUGAAAUGCUCAGAUAUGAUACAGAACACCGAUCGCGAAGGCAGCUUACGAAACUACAACUGACGCUCAGGGACGAAAGCGUGGGAAGCGAACAGGAUUAGAUACCCUAGUAGUC
rnacentral:rRNA from 1 species